rnacentral:rRNA from 1 species
AGAGUUUGAUCAUGGCUCAGGACGAACGCUGGCGGCGUGCUUAAUACAUGCAAGUCAAGGAGAACAUUUCCUUCGGGAAAUUAUUAAACUGGCGAACGGGUGAGUAACGCGUAGGUAACCUGCCCUAGAGAUUGGGAUAACACCGGGAAACCGGUGCUAAUACCGGAUAAUGCAGCGGAUCCUUCGGGAUACAGUUGUUAAAGCGGGCUUCGGCUCGCACUUUAGGAUGGGCCUGCGUCCGAUUAGCUUGUUGGUAAGGUAACGGCUUACCAAGGCAAUGAUCGGUAGCUGGUCUGAGAGGAUGAUCAGCCACACUGGGAUUGAGAUACGGCCCAGACUCCUACGGGAGGCAGCAGUAGGGAAUUUUGCGCAAUGGGGGAAACCCUGACGCAGCAACGCCGCGUGACCGAUGAAGCUUCUAGGAGCGUAAAGGUCUGUCGUAAGGGAAGAAAAGUUUGGAUGUGAAUAAUAUUUGAACCUGACGGUACCUUACAAGAAAGCACCGGCUAACUUCGUGCCAGCAGCCGCGGUAAUACGAGGGGUGCAAGCGUUGUCCGGAAUCACUGGGCGUAAAGGGUCCGUAGGCGUCCCAACAAGUCAUUUGUUAAAUCCACCGGCUUAACCGGUGACCUGCAUUUGAAACUUUUGGGAUAGAGUAUAGGAGAGGAAAGUGGAAUUCCUGGUGUAGCGGUGACAUGCGUAGAUAUCAGGAGGAACACCAAUGGCGAAGGCAGCUUUCUGGCCUAUUACUGACGCUGAGGGACGAAAGCGUGGGGAGCGAACAGGAUUAGAUACCCUGGUAGUCCACGCCGUAAACGAUGAGUACUUGGUGUCGGGGGAUUCGACCCCUUCGGUACCGGAGCUAACGCAUUAAGUACUCCGCCUGGGA